CAAGCAGGCAUGCAUCAUUCCUGAUGUGUUCCUGCCAUUGACAGCAAGGAGGAUGUCGCCGCAUCUGAAAAACCAAAGGCAAAUACGAGAGAACAAUUGAACAAGAUAAGAGCCUGUAUGUGACUAACUGUGUCAAAAGUGGUCAGGCAUUUAUUAUUGUGGUGCAGGUCAAAGCUAAAUAAUUUCAAGGCCAAUGAAAUGAGCCAGAAUUAGAAAAAUCACAGAGAUGACACAAAGAAGAGUAUCAGUGGAAGGAGGGAUCCUGAGCUUUUCUUGUCAAGUAACACGGGAUGGGGUGUAACCUGCUGUAACAAGGCAGUGGAGACCAGGAAGGCAGGAGGAGAAGUGCUGGAGUGAAGCUGAGUAUGGGAAAAGGGGAGGAAAAGGGUUUUCCCCAAGUGUUUGUCACAUGUUUGUCAUCUUUGGUUCCCAAUACCCAAACUGGUAAUUAAAUGUUUUAACUUAAUUCCCCAAGCCAAGUCUUUUGCACACAACAGUAACGGGUGAGUGAUUUCCCUGUCUUUACUUUGACCCAUGAGUUUUCUUGCUCUCGUUCUUCCUAUGUGCUCUUGUCCUGCUGGGGGUGUUGAGCUGUGCAGGUGCUUGGUGCAGGCCAGGUCCAACCCAUCACACUGGCCAUAGCUAGAGAUUGACUCUUGACAGCAUAGGAGU